GUACAAAGUACACAACAACUCAAGGGACAUAAGUGUGACUGAUCUUGUUUUUGUAGCAAAAACACAUUGUGGUAAAGAAGAUGCGUCCGAGAAUUCAAAUCAGACAAGUCACUAAUCACAUGAAAUAUUUACAAGAACAGAUUCGAAUUGUGGAGCCUGUUAUUAAAGCUAUGAAAAAUUUUCCAAGUUCUGGUUAGAGAUUUGAAUCAGUUUGUCAAUGGGCAUCAAUCUUUGUUGUAGGAGCUUGUACAACACACACUGCUAAAUGAGCGACGAUUACAAUUGAAAAUGUAUACAUUUAACUUUUUUUUUGCAUAAUAAAACUCACAGAAAAUUAAAAUAAAUGGUAUUACUAUUGGUAUAAUUAAAAAUUUAAAGUACAUUAACUACCAUU